GACGAACGCUGGCGGCGUGCUUAACACAUGCAAGUCGAACGGUAAGGCCCUUCGGGGUACACGAGUGGCGAACGGGUGAGUAACACGUGGGUGAUCUGCCCUGCACUUCGGGAUAAGCCUGGGAAACUGGGUCUAAUACCGGAUAGGACCACUGCCUGCAUGGGUGGUGGUGGAAAGCUUUUGCGGUGUGGGGUGGGCCCGCGGCCUAUCAGCUUGUUGGUGGGGUGAUGGCCUACCAAGGCGACGACGGGUAGCCGGCCUGAGAGGGUGAGCGGCCACACUGGGACUGAGAUACGGCCCAGAUUCCUACGGGAGGCAGCAGUGGGGAAUAUUGCACAAUGGGCGCAAGCCUGAUGCAGCGACGCCGCGUGAGGGAUGACGGCCUUCGGGUUGUAAACCUCUUUCAGCACCGACGAAGCGCAAGUGACGGUAGGUGCAGAAGAAGGACCGGCCAACUACGUGCCAGCCGCCGCCGUAA
rnacentral:rRNA from 1 species